GUGGGGAAUCUUAGACAAUGGGGGAAACCCUGAUCUAGCCAUGCCGCGUGAGCGAUGAAGGCCUUAGGGUUGUAAAGCUCUUUCAGCUGGGAAGAUAAUGACGGUACCAGCAGAAGAAGCCCCGGCUAACUCCGUGCCAGCAGCCGCGGUAAUACGGAGGGGGCUAGCGUUGUUCGGAAUUACUGGGCGUAAAGCGCACGUAGGCGGAUCAGAAAGUCAGAGGUGAAAUCCCAGGGCUCAACCUUGGAACUGCCUUUGAAACUCGUGGUCUUGAGGUCGAGAGAGGUGAGUGGAAUUCCGAGUGUAGAGGUGAAAUUCGUAGAUAUUCGGAGGAACACCAGUGGCGAAGGCGGCUCACUGGCUCGAUACUGACGCUGAGGUGCGAAAGCGUGGGGAGCAAACAGGAUUAGAAACCCGAGUAGUCC
rnacentral:rRNA from 1 species